AAGCAAGGGAAGACUCAUGUCGAAACAUAGGCACACAUACACGUCAACAAACAAUUAAACAGAGUCAACCCGAACUUGAGAUAAGAAGUCGCCAAUGGCUCGAGGAGACCGAGUUGACUCGAUAAACACACAAGUCCACCUUGACUGGAGACUAGGAUAGGCUGAGGGCGCAUUUUAUUAAUCGGAAAUGGCUUCUUUUUGCUUGAAACAAAUAAGUGGCCUGGUCGACAAGGAGACAACAAGAGGUAAAGGCAUUUUGGACGACGAAUGUUGGGCCACAGAAAAUAAAGGAGUAAUGUAAGGCGGCUGUGGGAGAUUGAAAGAGAAAGGAAAUAGUGGAAAAGAAGGAAAGGGUGAACAUGAGACGAAAGCAAAGGUGAGAGUUUCUUUUUUUAGGUUUUACAUAUUUUUCCAGCAAUCAUAUUUUUUGAACAUAAAUAUUUAGGUUUUCUCAUCAAUUCAAGUAAUAAGCAUGCCAUAAUCAAACUACAUAAAUUAAUAAUUAUUUGUAAUUUUUUUCAAAAUCCAUCCAGCAAGUUCUACCCCUUUUGUCUUUUUCCUAUUUUCCCCUGAGAAGAGAAGAUCAAAGAGUACAUAAAAUUAGCAACCAUAGCCAAUGAGCUGUAAUGUCCAAUUGAUCAGUUUUAAAAAGACAGAAGAUAUAUCAUACAUAUAAGAGGCAAUUAAAACAGACAAUGGAAACAAGUUUUUGAUGAAAUUUCGACUCAUAAAAGGAGAUUUGAACCAAAACAAAAUUAGUGAUGAGGAAAGGUUUAAUAUCUUCCUCAUCUGCAACUUAGCCAGAGAUUCCAAGUGGGACUGUGAAGAUGCCCUGAACCAAACCACGCCAGGGGUUCAACAUCCUUCCAAGCUCAUUCAUUAGGAACUUCCUAAUGACGCACAUUUUUAUGACAACAGGCUUGUUCCUUUCUUUCGAAAAAUCAUUGACUUGGAUCAAAUACUUGAAACCGUUUUUUGAAAUUUUCAGCCAGUUUUGUUUCCUCAUCUUUGCCAAUUGUACAAUUCCUCCAAUCAGCCCUAUCAGCCACGUUCAAUAGGCCAGCCACAACCUGCAUCAAUUUCAUACCUAUCAUUCUUUUUUUCAUUGCUACAGAUCUCUUAAACAUUGGCUUUAGAUAUUCAAGUAUGUUACUAACUUCAUAAUUAUUACCCCCCCCCCCAACACACUUAUAUGAACAAGUCUCGAAUAUUAGAAUAUUCAUAACAGCAGAUUAUUCUGCAGCAAAUGACUGAUUAUUCACCAAUGGUAACCUAAAUCACCUUUCCGCAAAACAAUUUUAGGUUUAUGGUGUGAGUUCCAAGAUAUAACACAGCCCCAAUUCCUAUAUGGAUGUCAACUGAAGCAUGAACACCCAUCUCAUUGACAAGAACUCCCUAGCUAAGGGAAAUGGUUUUUUGCUUUCCCCCAAUAACAAUAGAAAGCUUCUCAUCACUACCUUCUUUAUUAUCUGUUUCCUAUUUUUGGAAAAAAUGUUACAAUUGACAUAAUUCAAAAGAAGUUAUGUCAGUCAUUUAUGAAAAUGGAAAGCAAUCAUGAAAAUCCAUGUUAAAGAAUAAAACAAACUAAUUACCAACAAUCUAAAAAGGAGGGCAAUUUACUUAAGGAAUAAGGAUAGAAUUCAAGGCAUCUAGUUGAGAAAUAAAAUGCAAAAUUCAUUUUCUUAGGUUUCAAUUUGGUACGCAGGUGCCCAGGUUCAAAUAGGCAGCAGCAUCACAUUCAAUGGAGAAAUUAAGAAUCUUACCUCACGACCAAAUUGGGCAGGAAACUUCUCAUUCUCUUCAAUUAAAUGUAAUAGGAUUGAACCUUCAGGCAGUUCCACAUAGAAGCAGC
rnacentral:lncRNA from 1 species